rnacentral:rRNA from 1 species
UACGUAGGGUGCAAGCGUUGUCCGGAAUUAUUGGGCGUAAAGAGCUCGUAGGCGGCUUGUCACGUCGACUGUGAAAACCCGGGGCUCAACCCCGGGCCUGCAUUCGAUACGGGCAGACUAGAGUUCGGUAGGGGAGUCUGGAAUUCCUGGUGUAGCGGUGAAAUGCGCAGAUAUCAGGAGGAACACCGGUGGCGAAGGCGGGUCUCUGGGCCGAUACUGACGCUGAGGAGCGAAAGCGUGGGGAGCGAACAGG